rnacentral:rRNA from 1 species
AGAGUUUGAUCAUGGCUCAGAUUGAACGCUGGCGGCAGGCUUAACACAUGCAAGUCGAACGAUGAAGUCUAGCUUGCUAGACGGAUUAGUGGCGAACGGGUGAGUAAUGCUUAGGAAUCUGCCUAUUAGUGGGGGAUAACGUAGGGAAACUUACGCUAAUACCGCAUACGACCUACGGGUGAAAGGGGGCUUUUAGCUCUCGCUAAUAGAUGAGCCUAAGUCGGAUUAGCUGGUUGGUGGGGUAAAGGCCUACCAAGGCGACGAUCUGUAGCUGGUCUGAGAGGAUGAUCAGCCACACUGGGACUGAGACACGGCCCAGACUCCUACGGGAGGCAGCAGUGGGGAAUAUUGGACAAUGGGCGAAAGCCUGAUCCAGCCAUGCCGCGUGUGUGAAGAAGGCCUUUUGGUUGUAAAGCACUUUAAGUGGGGAGGAAAAGCUUGUGGUUAAUACCCAUAAGCCCUGACGUUACCCACAGAAUAAGCACCGGCUAACUCUGUGCCAGCAGCCGCGGUAAUACAGAGGGUGCAAGCGUUAAUCGGAAUUACUGGGCGUAAAGCGCGCGUAGGUGGUUAUUUAAGUCAGAUGUGAAAGCCCCGGGCUUAACCUGGGAACUGCAUCUGAUACUGGAUAACUAGAGUAGGUGAGAGGGGAGUAGAAUUCCAGGUGUAGCGGUGAAAUGCGUAGAGAUCUGGAGGAAUACCGAUGGCGAAGGCAGCUCCCUGGCAUCAUACUGACACUGAGGUGCGAAAGCGUGGGUAGCAAACAGGAUUAGAUACCCUGGUAGUCCACGCCGUAAACGAUGUCUACCAGUCGUUGGGUCUUUUAAAGACUUAGUGACGCAGUUAACGCAAUAAGUAGACCGCCUGGGGAGUACGGCCGCAAGGUUAAAACUCAAAUGAAUUGACGGGGGCCCGCACAAGCGGUGGAGCAUGUGGUUUAAUUCGAUGCAACGCGAAGAACCUUACCUGGCCUUGACAUACUA